AACUGUGUUAGAAUAAUGGUUUCUGUUGUGCCAAUUAAAUAGCUGAAUAGUCGUAGAUCAAGUGAGUAAGAUGAGCACUCUGAUAAAUUAAUUUCAGAUGUAAUAAUAUUAUUAUUGUUUUAGUGGUGUGGUGUGUCUUUCUUUUGGUUUGCGUGGACGCAAUGCACAGCAUGUGUUAGGGUCGCGAGGCGGGGGCGGGGCCCAGACAGCAGCCGCCGCGCUCCCUCCGCGCUCUCUCCGCGAUCGAUACGCGACGUCUACAGCCUGCCUUUGUUUACACUUGUCCCUCCGCACGCGCUGCGAUGCUCCAUCCCAUCCAAUCUGUAGUACACAUGUUCGCAAUGAGAAGCCUGUAGCGCGUCAACGCACCCCGCGUGAACUGCCCAUCGAGCGGUGUCUGGAAACCGUGCAGUCCUCCCUUCAAUAGAGGAACACCAGACUCAAUAAAGGAGCCGAUGACUAUUGCAAUGACUACAUCAAAACCUUGACAAGUAUACUGCAGACACACCAAGACAGAGAACAAAACCGAGCGGCAAAGACGAAGCAAGUGGUCAGCAAAUGAGCGGCUAAGACGCGGUCAUGUUAUCUAGUGUACGAUUCGGCGUCCGAAGUCUGUGCGUUCAGCAUCCAAGAACUACCAUGGCGCCCUCGCGGCGACCACCUCCUCGUCAACGAGCCUAUUGGAGCUGCACUACAGGAGUACAAAAAUUGUGCUUGAGAACCUCUAAGUUUCAUUCAGACAAACGGUCGAGGCGUACCUAUUUUUUUUGUUUUGUUUACACAGCUCCUAUGCCGGUUAGUGUAUGUGUCUUUCGCACUGGACAUCUUUAAACUACCAAGCGCCUUGUUAUUCAACAAA